rfam:Triticum aestivum genome assembly, contig: Triticum_aestivum_CS42_TGACv1_scaffold_578249_7BL
AUUGUACUCCCUCCGUCCGGAAAUACUUGUCCUAAAAAUGGAUAAAAUGGAUGUAUCUAUAACUAAAAUAAGUCUAGAUACAACAAUUUCGAGGACAAUUAUUUCCGGACGGAGGGAGUAUUAA